rnacentral:rRNA from 1 species
ACUCCUACGGGAGGCAGCAGUGGGGAAUAUUGCACAAUGGGCGCAAGCCUGAUGCAGCCAUGCCGCGUGUAUGAAGAAGGCCUUCGGGUUGUAAAGUACUUUCAGCAGUGAGGAAGGUAGUGUAGUUAAUAGCUGCAUUAUUUGACGUUAGCUGCAGAAGAAGCACCGGCUAACUCCGUGCCAGCAGCCGCGGUAAUACGGAGGGUGCGAGCGUUAAUCGGAAUUACUGGGCGUAAAGCGCAUGCAGGUGGUUUGUUAAGUCAGAUGUGAAAGCCCGGGGCUCAACCUCGGAAUUGCAUUUGAAACUGGCAGACUAGAGUACUGUAGAGGGGGGUAGAAUUUCAGGUGUAGCGGUGAAAUGCGUAGAGAUCUGAAGGAAUACCGGUGGCGAAGGCGGCCCCCUGGACAGAUACUGACACUCGGAUGCGAAAGCGUGGGGAGCAAACAGGAUUAGAUACCCUGGUAGCACAGAG